GCAAGCCUGAUGCAGCCAUGCCGCGUGUGUGAAGAAGGCCUUCGGGUUGUAAAGCACUUUCAGCGGGGAGGAAGGCGAUAAGGUUAAUAACCUUGUCGAUUGACGUUACCCGCAGAAGAAGCACCGGCUAACUCCGUGCCAGCAGCCGCGGUAAUACGGAGGGUGCAAGCGUUAAUCGGAAUUACUGGGCGUAAAGCGCACGCAGGCGGUCUGUCAAGUCGGAUGUGAAAUCCCCGGGCUUAACCUGGGAACUGCAUUCGAAACUGGCAGGCUAGAGUCUUGUAGAGGGGGGUAGAAUUCCAGGUGUAGCGGUGAAAU
rnacentral:rRNA from 1 species